CGGCGUCGUGCAUUCGGCGUGAACGAAGGCGGUUCGUGGAUUCGGAUCGUGGGAUCGUGGAUUCGAGUGACGUCAUGGAUUCGGCGUGAUUGGAGCUUCGUGGAUUCGAAGUGGAGGCGUUCGUGGAUUCGAACGUGAGGGCGUGGACAACCCGGAGGAUUGCGCGAAGAUUCAUACGAGGUUAAGAAAGGUUGAGUCCGUGGAGUCGGUAAUCACCUUGU
rnacentral:lncRNA from 1 species